UACAGAGGGGGCAAGCGUUAUUCGGAAUUAUUGGGCGUAAAGGGCGCGUAGGCGGUCUCUCAAGUGGAUGGUGAAAUCCCCGAGCUCAACUCGGGAACUGCGUCCGAUACUGGCGGGCUUGAAUCCGGGAGAGGGAUGCGGAAUUCCAGGUGUAGCGGUGAAAUGCGUAGAUAUCUGGAGGAACACCGGUGGCGAAGGCGGCAUCCUGGACCGGCAUUGACGCUGAGGCGCGAAAGCUAGGGGAGCAAACGGG
rnacentral:rRNA from 1 species